AUCGAACGUUCGCAGAGCCUGUUUUGACUGGAGUGAUGCUUAGAAUUCCAUAAAAAAAUGUAUCCCUUUUUAUUUUACCACUACAAUCUGUUCGUCGGACGAAACUGGAAGAAAAAAAACUUGUGUAGAAAGUAAACAUCCGCACCUCGAUUGUGUCAACUGUGCUUAUGUCUGCGUAAUGAAAAAUUAGGGAAAAAAUAAAAAAACUUCAGACUAUUUCUGAUCUAGCGAGCUCGCUGCCCAGACUUACAUGAUUACAAAGAGGAGAUUCUCCUGAUUAAAAUGGUUUGCUUCCGUCCCUCUCCUCGCCCCAGGGACCCUCUGCACACAUUGACAACAGCCACCCUCGAAGCAGUAUUACCCAUCGCUCCACGAAAGCCACGGCUCUACUUCAAGGGGACAACUUCCCUCUUAGACUGCCUGCCAAUCACCAAGAAACAACAGAAUAU
rnacentral:lncRNA from 1 species